rfam:Myotis brandtii contig317283, whole genome shotgun sequence.
GCCCAUGUUGCUCAGUGGUUAGAGUGUUGGCUCAUGAACCAAAGAAUCUUGAGUUUGAUUCCCAGUCAAGGGCA